AUACCUAGCUGGCGUCUGGAUACCGUGAUCAUGCAGGCGGUUCUCCCGGGGUGCGGCUGCUCUAUUGCACAUUGCGGAGUGGUUAACCCUUGCGAUUAUUUUUAUAUUUUAUAAGUUUUACUUCUACCACCGUGUUUGACUUGCUCACACACACAUUUUUUAUUAUUUGGAAUUAGUACCAAC
rnacentral:snRNA from 9 species